GAUGAACGCUGGCGGCGUGCCUAAUACAUGCAAGUCGAGCGAACAGACGAGGAGCUUGCUCCUCUGACGUUAGCGGCGGACGGGUGAGUAACACGUGGAUAACCUACCUAUAAGACUGGGAUAACUUCGGGAAACCGGAGCUAAUACCGGAUAAUAUAUUGAACCGCAUGGUUCAAUAGUGAAAGACGGUUUUGCUGUCACUUAUAGAUGGAUCCGCGCCGCAUUAGCUAGUUGGUAAGGUAACGGCUUACCUAGGCAACGAUGCGUAGCCGACCUGAGAGGGUGAUCGGCCACACUGGAACUGAGACACGGUCCAGACUCCUACGGGAGGCAGCAGUAGGGAAUCUUCCGCAAUGGGCGAAAGCCUGACGGAGCAACGCCGCGUGAGUGACGAAGGUCUUCGGAUCGUAAAACUCUGUUAUUAGGGAAGAACAAAUGUGUAAGUAACUAUGCACGUCUUGACGGUACCUAAUCAGAAAGCCACGGCUAACUACGUG
rnacentral:rRNA from 1 species